GGGAGGUUGGGUUGGCCCAGGGAUGGGUAUCAAGGAGGGCAUGUAUUCCACGGAGCACUGGGGUUAUACACAAACAAUUAAUCAUGGAACACUACAAAAAAAACUAAUGAUGUACUGUAUGGUAACUAAGAUAACAU